rnacentral:tRNA from 1 species
GGAGCUGUGGCUUAGUGGCUUAAAGCCUCAGCCUGCAGUGCCGAAUUGCAUCCCAGCUGCUCCAUGUCUAAUGCAGCUCCC